UACGUAGGGUGCGAGCGUUAAUCGGAAUUACUGGGCGUAAAGCGUGCGCAGGCGGUUUUUUAAGACAGGCGUGAAAUCCCCGGGCUUAACCUGGGAACUGCGUUUGUGACUGGAAGGCUAGAGUAUGGCAGAGGGGGGUGGAAUUCCACGUGUAGCAGUGAAAUGCGUAGAGAUGUGGAGGAACACCGAUGGCGAAGGCAGCCCCCUGGGCCAACACUGACGCUCAUGCACGAAAGCGUGGGGAGCAAACAGG
rnacentral:rRNA from 1 species